UAGAAAAUGUUUGUAUAACCCUAACCAACUCCAUAACAAGCUAAACAUCCUUGGACAAUUGAAGUCAAGACUGCAUGCAUGUGCAUUUUAAGCUAUAACUUGCAACAAUGAAAUCUGUUUGUGUGUUUGUGUUGUUGUUGAUUUUCUCUGCAACAUUGUCAUCCGCAAAAAUGAGAGCUUCGGACCGUUCUCGCGCUGUAGACAAAAGUCGAUUUGUUGAAUGUCCCGCAGACCAGUGUGAUCCACCCUGUUCUCCACCUAGCCUGAGCAUGUGUGUGUACAAACCUAUGAUCAGAGGAUGUAGAUGCAUAUAUCUCCCUAAAUGAUUCCUGAACAUCAUUUUCAUUCUCAAUAUAAAAUUAUACUAAAUUUGUAUGGUUUAAUAUUAUUGCUAUAAAAA